rnacentral:rRNA from 1 species
AAUGAACGCUGGCGGCAGGCCUAACACAUGCAAGUCGAACGGGUCCUUCGGGACUAGUGGCGGACGGGUGAGUAACGCGUGGGAACGUGCCCCUUGGUACGGAAUAGCCCCGGGAAACUGGGAGUAAUACCGUAUGUGGUCGAGAGACGAAAGAUUUAUCGCCAAGGGAUCGGCCCGCGUUGGAUUAGGUAGUUGGUGGGGUAAUGGCCUACCAAGCCGACGAUCCAUAGCUGGUUUGAGAGGAUGAUCAGCCACACUGGGACUGAGACACGGCCCAGAAUCCUACGGGAGGCAGCAGGGGGGAAUCUUAGACAAUGGGGGAAACCCUGAUCUAGCCAUGCCGCGUGAUCGAUGAAGGCCUUAGGGUUGUAAAGAUCUUUCAGGUGGGAAGAUAAUGACUGUACCACCAGAAGAAGCCCCGGCUAACUCCGUGCCAGCAGCCGCCGUAAGAC